rnacentral:rRNA from 1 species
UACAGAGGUGGCAAGCGUUGUUCGGAAUUACUGGGCGUAAAGGGCGCGUAGGCGGCCAUCUAAGUCAGACGUGAAAUCCCCGGGCUUAACCUGGGAACUGCGCUUGUUACUGGCAAGCUAGAGUGUGGCAGAGGGGGGUGGAAUUCCAGGUGUAGCAGUGAAAUGCGUAGAUAUCUGGAGGAACACCGAUGGCGAAGGCAGCCCCCUGGGCUAACACUGACGCUCAUGCACGAAAGCGUGGGGAGCAAACAGG